UCGAAUUUUUUGCGUUUAAUGGUUUAUGUGCAUCUUUGUGUCGCUAAUUCUCUUAUAAUUCAAUUUUGUAUUACCUCACAGACAUUUUUAAGACGUUUGUAGCUAUACCAAUGCAGUUUCGAUAAACCUAGACCUGCAAUUAUUCAUUCAAAUAUCAACAAAAUGGAAUUGAAAUUACAAGUUUUAAAUUGGCGAGGCGAAUCUAAAUCGGAGUCUGCAAUGAUUAUUAGAGAUCAACUCAUUUCUUCAGUUAGGCACUAGAAUAGUAGGCUACUGAAUGAUUCUUGGUGUGUGAUUGUUGAACCAAAGACGACGGCGUAAACAAAUAAAGGCGAUCGAGAACAAGAAAUAUUCGAGUUAAAACAACUUGUCUGGAUCUUUAACUGACUGGAUGUAAACAAGCUGCGAAUGUUGACAUCGGGAACUGCUGGGGCGAAACAAACUACGGUUAAAAUACAAAUUGAAGUAGGGAUUUCAGUUAGGCCAUAAUAUAGCACCAGAUUGGUAGCGAAGAGAGUAUUUGUGUUGUAUCAAAGACCCUAGGAAAGAUGCGGCCGGGCAAAGAUAAGUGGGCUAUUUUGAAUGUAAAAUGUACAUCAUUGUUAAAUUAAAAACUCGACAACGAUGCGGUUGUGCUGAGAUGUUCCGAAAAUAGUACAGGUGACAUUACUUUUUUGUCAUUUCAACGGUCAUUUCUUUUGCGCAUAAAUGGCUUUUUUGUUUCCCUAUUAUAUCCAAAACUUUUUAUGUCAUGUCAGUCAGUUUGACGACGUCAACAGCAGUUUUCAUUUCUUAAUUUGUUUGGUCCAUCUAUAUUCUAACGUUUUUCUUUUAAAACCCGCUUUUCUGAGUCUUUUACAGCUUCACUAAUGCAGUUAGACUUAGGUUUAGGCCUACAACUGUUGAUCCAAAUGUCUACGAAGUGGACGUGUUGAUGUGGAACGAAAACGAAAGUUACCAUGACUACCCGCUAAAUUUAAACUAAAUAAUAUUACAGUUAGGCCAUAACAUAGUAUUAAUGCGACGAUUGUUGUCAAAUUCAUGAAUCGAAGACUCACGGGAGACGAUCAAGGAGUAAUUAGAUAACUGUUAAUUUAUUUACAGCCAUAAGUGCACAAGCGCGGGCAAUACGGUAUACACCCUUGGAGGUUUUAUGACUACGUCAGUGUCAUCGUAUUGUCUUAUUUUAUUACCCUUAACAUGAAUCCGAUUACAUAUGACGGUCUUAUAACUACUGGGCUGUUGCGCUGCGAAACGUACCUUUGUUAUGACUGCAUUCAAAUUUACAUUUUGAAUAGUUUUCCAAUUAUCCACGUCUCAGCUGUAUAACAAAUAAUAUUUAUUAACGGCAAUUAAUAUAUGACCUUGCUUCCUUUUCA